rnacentral:lncRNA from 10 species
CGCUAAAUGAAAAAUGUCAAAGGAAAGGACAGUGAGUUUAGUAUAAUAUGUUCAAAAUAAGAGAGGAAGGAAGGAAGGAAGGAAGGGAGAGAGGAAGGAAGGAAUAAACAGAGGAAAAGAAGGAAGGAGGGGAAAGAAAAAAGGAAAUCAAUCAAAGGAAGGAGGAAGGAAUGAAUGGAGAGAAAAAGGAAGAAGGGAAGGAAGGGGGAGAAAAUGAAGGGAUAAAAGAAUAACAUUUCCUUGAAUAUUCAGAAAAUAUCUCUGGAGGACUUGUCUCUUGGGACAGCAACUGUCAGCUGGGGUCAUGUACUUUGUACCUUUUAAAUAUUUUGAAAUGUUUUGUACAUUAAAACAAUGUUAAGCCAAGUGAAUAGAUUACUUGUUUUAAUGUAAAUGUGAGAAAGUUGCCCUACUUCCCUGUUUCCCAUUAAGGAUCUGGGAGUGGGCUGUGGCGUUUAAUCUAAUGCAGAAUAAAGCACGAAUAUGAAAAUGGCUAUUUUUUUCUUUCAUCUUGAUAAUUAGACUUUUUUUUUUUUUUUUUUUGACAAGGUCUCACUGUAUUGCUUAGGCUGAAUUCUCUCCCCUCAGCGUCCCCAGUAACUGGGAGUAGCGGCAUAUGCCAUCACACUGGCUUAUGCUGCCAUUUGUCGUGCAGCGGAAUGGGUGGGGUGGGGGGUAUGGGCAUUUGAAAAUGUGUUUAAAGAAGCAGCUUCAAAUGUCCUUCCCUUUGGGUGGUAAAUAGUACGGGCAGUCAAUCAGAAAAGAUACUAAUAAGCUGAAGAAGUGACAAUACUACGAAGAAGUAAACAGCAAAUUAGUGGUUUAAAAAUUCUUAUAAGAGGUAAUCACAUAAAACUGUUGAAGCUUAGGCAGUCUGAAAAUAAGGCACAUAUCUGCAUCUAUGUGCAACUGAGUAUAAAUUGAAUCGACUUCUCCUGUAGUUCUUUUUUAAUAUGUCUAUGAUGCCAUGCAGCACCGUGCUAUCUUUAUCUAUCUACACAUUCUUCUGCAGUGUGAAUCCCUGGAAGGCAAGAUCGCCAUUCUGGUCUCUUGUGGAUAUCAAUGCUGAUCUCAGCUUCUGAUGCACGGCAGUCAAUUAAUAAAUGAUUGUUGCCUGAAAAACUGAGCCCCAAAACAAUAUUACAAGUUUAAUAUCAGUAAAGGAUUUAAUGCUUUCUAACAUGAAGAUACCAGAAGUUGCUGAUUUUUGUAUAACCCAGAGAUGGAUUUAAAUGCAGAGUGUAUGAACUUCUUCAUUCCUGAGGGAGGACUUAUGAUUUCAUGAGAAAUGCCCUAGGAAAGGGGCCGGGGAGACUGAUGGAGAAGAAGAGUUUGGGAGGGAAGCCCCAAGGACCAUCUGCCCCAUCAGAGUCACAUGCAGAGGGUCCUGCUCCUGCCGUUGGAAGUUGGCUUCCUGAGCUGCUGAACGUGCCAGUCCUGCUGACCCACUCUCAGAUAUCACAGGCACCCGCUGUGUCUGACAGAGACCUUUCUGCAAGUACACGUGCAGGUCUGCUCUGCAAAGGCGUUAUCAUCUGCAGAUUAUUGCACAGAGUGGCUACGAGCUGUGGUGUGAUCCUGUCACAGAGAGAGCCUGGUCACGUUUUCAGAACAGCAGGAAACAGGACAUUUUGAAACAUGUUUUCAGUGGUGAAAAGGACGUCUGCAAGAGGAACUGAAAGAGAAAUAAACAGUCACUGGAAACACACGCUGAAGGCGGGGAUUGGGGCACAUAUUAAUAAAAUAGCUUGAGUAAAAUUGGAUAAUGCACAAGAACAGCAAAACAGAACAAAACAAAACCCAACAACGAUGAGGAAUUCAUCAGUGAAGGGCUCGCGGAAUGUUCUGAGAAUAAUUCUUCCUUGCUAAUGCCCUCCAGUUUGCAUUAAGAUGCCCAGCAGUUCACCCUCCAGUCUGAGCCAGGCCAGCUACACAGGCUGAAAGUUUCUUAGGCCCUCGAUGACGAUCCUGGACAGGCACCCUGAACACAGCCUCCCCGGUACAUUCUUAGUGCACUCACAGAAUCUGCUGCUUCCCAGGUCUUUUGGAUGUGAAAUGAAACCCCAAGGACUGCUUUAACAAGGGGCAAAAACACAUGCAACCAAAGCCAGCAGUUAUGCCGAAGCAUCCCGGAUUCCCAUGAGAAACUCUCUGGAUCUAGUUCCUCUACGUCACAUGAGUGUGCAAACAGGAGACUACAAGAGUUUAAAAAUACUGGGACUGCUGGAGAUUUCCCUGGCCAUAUAUAGUUCACUUGUUUCACAGUAAGUUCAAAAGAGACAAAGGGAGAGGGAGGGAAAGAAAGAAGGCAACGGGCACUCAGCUUGAGUGAGUAGGGAACCUGAUUACAAUACUGUGCCACCUUCCUUCUCCCCCCAGCUCCGCCCCGGCACUCUCACCCCCAG